ACACAUACCUCCUUUGGACAGAGACAUUUCCCCUUUGCUUUGAUGAGGGGGAAGGGAAGCACAAAGACUUUUUGCCUUUUUCUACUCCCUCCCUCCCCGCAUCGAACCCGUACGCCCGCUCAGGAUCGCAGGCUGCUCGUGCAGGGGAAGAAAAAAAAAGAAAAAACUAGCAGCAGCGAUGAAAGCAAAAAAAUCAAAUAAAAUGUCUCGUCUCCGCGCGCUCCGAACGCCUCCGGCUGCUAAGGCGAGCGCUCACCGGGCGAUUGGCAACCAGAUGCACGGUUCGGAUUGAAGGCAGCGCGGGCUCCACACUUCGAAUGAAGACAUGACGAUAAAAAGAUCAAAUCAACAGAGAGAGGUAACGUCAACCACAGUUAAGAUCUUGAUUGGCUGAUGGAUAACUUGGACACACACUCAGACGUAGCUAUACUUCUCAAGUGUGAGUAGGCCCUUUUGGCGCCUCUGGGAGACAGAAAAGAAGAGAACUGGCGGCGCAGAGCUAUAUUUCAUUCAUCUGUGAGGAUGCCGCGAUGUUUUUUUUAUUUCACAUCUCCUACCAAAUAAUAAUGAAAAAAAAAAAAAUAACUCACACCACAAGGUUUGAAAAAGAAAAAGAUGCAUCGUUGGCUCCCGGCAAAGUUUUCAUCAAAGCACAAAGACGAUCAUUGUGAACAAGUAGCAAAAUAAAUCAUCCAUCCAGCUUUUUUUUUUUUUUUUU